rnacentral:rRNA from 1 species
AACGAACGCUGGCGGCGGGCUUAACACAUGCAAGUCGAGCGCGCAGUUUACUCCGAGCGGCAGACGGGUGAGUAACGCGUGGGAAUCUACCCAGAACUACGGAAUAACAUGAAGAAAUUUGUGCUAAUACCGUAUACGCCCUUCGGGGGAAAGAUUUAUUGGUUUUGGAUGAGCCCGCGUUGGAUUAGCUAGUUGGUAGGGUAAUGGCCUACCAAGGCGACGAUCCAUAGCUGGUCUGAGAGGAUGAUCAGCCACACUGGGACUGAGACACGGCCCAGACUCCUACGGGAGGCAGCAGUGGGGAAUAUUGGACAAUGGGCGCAAGCCUGAUCCAGCCAUGCCGCGUGAGUGAUGAAGGCUUUAGGGUUGUAAAGCUCUUUCACCGGUGAAGAUAAUGACGGUAACCGGAGAAGAAGCCCCGGCUAACUUCGUGCCAGCCGCCGCCGUAA